GCACUCGUGGCGGAACGGCAGACGCGCUACCUUGAGGUGGUAGUACUUAAUAGUGUGUGAGUUCAAAUCUCGUCGAGUGCACCA
rnacentral:tRNA from 1 species